rnacentral:lncRNA from 1 species
CCAAUUCUGAAGGCCCAUAUGUUGUAAAUAAAUCCUUCUCCUGAGGUGCAUUGAUCCUUACAAAUAUGGAUGAUGAAGAGCUCUCAUACCCCGUGAACUCUGAUGCAGUUAAAAAAUACUAUGCCUAAUAAAAACCCGCUAAGUCGAAAACCUGAAAGGGUGACUUAGGCAAAAAUGGGUAUCCCGGUGAGCGAAAACCCGAAAGGGAGAUCUAGGAAAACGUUAGGGAUAAAU